UCUUAUGGCCCAGCCACAUUCCAUUGUGAGGAAACAUUUUGACGAUAACUGAGGCAGGAGAUGAGGGCUUGGGCCAAAGCAAGACCAGUGUGAGAAAAUGAAAACACGAGCGAUGCUUUGAAAGAGGAGGGAAGAGGCAAGACUUAAUGAGUGACCUUAAUUCAUUAAGGAGAUGACAGAACAGGGGAAAAUCGGGUCUACACAGAUCUGGUCCCCCUGCUUUGUGACUUCCAAGCCUGGCUGCGUGUCACCUACUGCUCUGGCAGCAGUGCCCACCCUCCCCCACCCGGAUGCUUACCCCACUCCCUCCAGGGCCACUCACAACCUCUUCGGCCACAAGCACAGACCUCAGAGAAAGUUCUCUCAUUUCUCGAGAAGGAGGUGAUGUUUGGAAGGAAUCAUUCCUCAACUUGCUGGGCUACCCCAACCGAAAGAAAAACUGAAACCAGAGACCACCUGGUAUAGGAGGUGGGGCCUUGGGGAGGUGAUUAGGUCAUGAGAGAAGAGCCCCCCUGAAUGGAAUUCGUACCUUUAAUAAAGAAGCCCCAGAGAGCUGCUUGCCCACCUUCUGCCAUGUGAGAACAUAAUGAGAUGUCGCCAGUCUGCAACCCAGAAGAGGACCUUCAUCUACAACCAACCAGGCUCGAUGGGUGAACUUGAACUUGAACUUGAUCUUCCCACCACCAUAACCCGAAGAGGUAAAUUUCUGUGAUUCAUAAGCCACCCAGUCCACCUUAUUCUGUUACAGCAGCUGAACAGACUGACAGAUUCUAAGAUUGAUUCCUCAGAGCACUCAAGAAUGUCAUGUGGACUGACCUCUGAGCUAUCUGUAGGAUGAAAGAAAAAAGUCAACUUUCAGUUUUUGUGGAGUCCUGAGGCACCCUCUUUGUUUCACUGUCAGGACCAUUCAGCCAAGUUCUUGCCUACAAAGAUCCUUCUGCCAGACGCAGGGAAGUAUAAAUAUUUUCAAUGAUUCAAGCCAGCGUGUCAACAUGUUCUUCAAAUCUUUCUACAUGCACAUGUACUUUUUAAUUAUUAACAAGAUGGAUCAUCCUCAGCAAGAGAGAGAAAGUAACUACCCUGGAUGAAUAUCCCAGAACUGACCCUACCUCAGAACAGUUUCCUUUUUCCAUGAGGGUUAUUAUUCCAACCCGACCUUGGCACAAGCCCACAUCCUGUUCCAGAACAGCCACAGCACACUCAGCCUUGACCCAAGCUGUGUUGCCCGCUUGUUACCUUGGAGCUGCACUCCAUGCUGGCCCCAUCUCCCUCAUCCAGGCCUGCUCUAGCAUUUCCUUCUCAGCAAGACUGUGAAGUAAAUGGUUUCUGCCU